GGUUUAGUGGCGGACGGGUGAGUAACACGUGAGCAACCUACCUUUCAGAGGGGGAUAACAGUUGGAAACGACUGCUAAUACCGCAUAACGUUGUAAAAGGGCAUCCAUUUACAACCAAAAGAGAAAUCUGCUGAAAGAUGGGCUCGCGGCCGAUUAGAUAGUAGGCGGGGUAACGGCCCACCUAGUCAACGAUCGGUAGCCGGACUGAGAGGUUGAACGGCCACAUUGGGACUGAGACACGGCCCAGACUCCUACGGAAGGCAGCAG
rnacentral:rRNA from 1 species